AAGGAUAACUGAAGAUAUAUAAAGACAUGAGUAGAUCUGUUUCUGAUGUGCUAAACAAAACUUUGGAGCUAAAGUAACCACAUGACUAAUGUAGCCAUUGCUGUCAGCCACCUUCAGACAAAU
rnacentral:snoRNA from 1 species